rnacentral:rRNA from 1 species
AGUGAACGCUGGCGGUAGGCCUAACACAUGCAAGUCGAACGGCAGCACAGUAAGAGCUUGCUCUUACGGGUGGCGAGUGGCGGACGGGUGAGGAAUACAUCGGAAUCUACUUUUUCGUGCGGGAUAACGUAGGGAAACUUACGCUAAUACCGCAUACGACCUACGGGUGAAAGCAGGGGAUCUUCGGACCUUGCGCGAUUGAAUGAGCCGAUGUCGGAUUAGCUAGUUGGCGGGGUAAAGGCCCACCAAGGCGACGAUCCGUAGCUGGUCUGAGAGGAUGAUCAGCCACACUGGAACUGAGACACGGUCCAGACUCCUACGGGAGGCAGCAGUGGGGAACAUUGGACAAUGGGCGCAAGCCUGAUCCAGCCAUACCGCGUGGGUGAAGAAGGCCUUCGGGUUGUAAAGCCCUUUUGUUGGGAAAGAAAAGCAGCAGGUUAAUACCCCGCUGUUCUGACGGUACCCAAAGAAUAAGCACCGGCUAACUUCGUG